rnacentral:piRNA from 1 species
UAAAAUGGUAAGCUAAAUAAACCCCUUCAUC